rnacentral:rRNA from 1 species
GACGAACGCUGGCGGCGUGCUUGACACAUGCAAGUCGAACGGUAAGGCCCUUCGGGGUACACGAGUGGCGAACGGGUGAGUAACACGUGGGUGAUCUGCCCUGCACUUCGGGAUAAGCCUGGGAAACUGGGUCUGAUACCGGAUAGGACCACUGCCUGCAUGGGUGGUGGUGGAAAGCUUUUGCGGUGUGGGAUGGGCCCGCGGCCUAUCAGCUUGUUGGUGGGGUGAUGGCCUACCAAGGCGACGACGGGUAGCCGGCCUGAGAGGGUGACCGGCCACACUGGGACUGAGAUACGGCCCAGACUCCUACGGGAGGCAGCAGUGGGGAAUAUUGCACAAUGGGCGCAAGCCUGAUGCAGCGACGCCGCGUGAGGGAUGACGGCCUUCGGGUUGUAAACCUCUUUCAGCAUCGACGAAGCGAAAGUGAUGGUAGGUGCAGAAGAAGGACCGGCCAACUACGUGCCAGCCGCCGCGGUAA